rnacentral:rRNA from 2 species
UGGGGAAUAUUGCGCAAUGGGGGCAACCCUGACGCAGCAACGCCGCGUGCGGGACGAAGGCGUCCGCGUCGUAAACCGCUUUCAGCAGGGAAGACACCGACGGUACCUGCAGAAGAAGCCCCGGCUAACUACGUGCCAGCAGCCGCGGUAACACGUAGGGGGCGAGCGUUAUCCGGAUUCAUUGGGCGUAAAGCGCGCGCAGGCGGCCGCUCAAGCGGGACCUCUAAUCCCGGGGCUCAACCCCGGGCCGGGUCCCGAACUGGGCGGCUCGCUUCGGGUAGGGGAGAGCGGAAUUCCCGGUGUAGCGGUGGAAUGCGCAGAUAUCGGGAAGAACACCGACGGCGAAGGCAGCUCUCUGGGCCCUGAAGGACGCUGAGGCGCGAAAGCCGGGGGAGCGAACAGG